ACAGCCAUAUCACUUUGAAACACCGAGUCCCAUAUGAUUACAGAAGUUAAGCAACGUCGAGCCUGGUCAGUACCUAGAUAGAUGACCGCCUGGCAAAACCAGGUGCU